AUUGAACGCUGGCGGCAGGCCUAACACAUGCAAGUCGAGCGGAUGAGUGGAGCUUGCUCCAUGAUUCAGCGGCGGACGGGUGAGUAAUGCCUAGGAAUCUGCCUGGUAGUGGGGGAUAACGUUUCGAAAGGAACGCUAAUACCGCAUACGUCCUACGGGAGAAAGUGGGGGAUCUUCGGACCUCACGCUAUCAGAUGAGCCUAGGUCGGAUUAGCUAGUUGGUGGGGUAAUGGCCCACCAAGGCGACGAUCCGUAACUGGUCUGAGAGGAUGAUCAGUCACACUGGAACUGAGACACGGUCCAGACUCCUACGGGAGGCAGCAGUGGGGAAUAUUGGACAAUGGGCGAAAGCCUGAUCCAGCCAUGCCGCGUGUGUGAAGAAGGUCUUCGGAUUGUAAAGCACUUUAAGUUGGGAGGAAGGGCAGUAAGUUAAUACCUUGCUGUUUUGACGUUACCAACAGAAUAAGCACCGGCUAACUUCGUGCCAGCCGCCGCCGUAA
rnacentral:rRNA from 1 species